UCUAUGACUUCUCUCCAACCAGCAUGCAAACAAGCUAUAAUUUCUUCCAUCUUAAAAAAACUUAUUAAAAAUGUUUCUCCUGUCUUAAAAGUUUUUUUGGCUUUCGGCUUUUGGCUUGGAGGAGGCAAAGGUGCAACUUUCUUUGGUCAUGCCGAAUCUGGGUUCAUCUGACACCAGCCACCUCCACCAUGCCGCUGAAGUUCGGCCCCAAUGAGAUCCAAGUCAUUUACCUGAGGUGCGCUGGCGGGGAAGUCGGUGCCACAUCUGCCCUGGGCCCCCAAGACCAGCCUGUCUCCAAAAAAGGGUGGUGAUAACAUCACCAAAGCAACCGGUGACUGGAAGGGUCUGGGAUCCCAGUGAAACUGACCAUUCGGAACAGACAGGUCCAGAAUGAGGUAGUGCCUUCUGCCUCUGCCCUGAGCAUCAAAGCCCUCAAAGAACCACCAUGAGACAGAAAGAAGCAAAAAGCAUUAAGCACAGAACGGAAGAGCA